rnacentral:rRNA from 1 species
UACGGAGGGUGCAAGCGUUGUCCGGAUUUAUUGGGUUUAAAGGGUGCGUAGGCGGCCUGUUAAGUCAGGGGUGAAAGACGAUUGCUCAACGAUCGCAGUGCCUUUGAUACUGAUAGGCUUGAGUACAGAUGAGGCUGGCGGAAUGGGUGGUGUAGCGGUGAAAUGCAUAGAUACCAUCCAGAACACCGAUUGCGAAGGCAGCCGGCUAAACUGUAACUGACGCUGAGGCACGAAAGCGUGGGGAUCGAACAGG